CUCAUGACAACAGAGGAAAGAGCAGAUCAUGGCACCAAAUCCUGCCCUGAAGCUGAGCAGGGCUCAAGGAGUGGCCCUGUGUGGAGAAGCAGAUGGAGCUCUGCAAACUAUCAGCAUGCUGGAUUUUACGGAGCAUUUCUGGAGCUGAGGGACAACUGUCUGGGAAUCUCCAGCGUGCAGGUGGUAAAACACUGACUGCCAUGAACUUCAUCAGGAAAAAACAAAAUAAAAAAAAAAGAGGAAAAAGCUGUGGUUUGGAAGCAGCUGGAUGGCAAACUGCAGGCUGGGAAUGUGGCUGCCAAAACCACCACAAGGAGAGUGGGGCAUAGAGGCAUCUGUGGAGCAUUCUGUUUGUUAAUUGCUCAUGGAAUUUCAGGCUGAAAGAGAAGAAAGGAAUCUACCAGGUGGCUGCAUCUUGAAAAACAGGCCUUGUCUUCCUGUCCCGUUUUGCAGCAGUCCUGUGUGUGGGAGAAGUACAGCUGUGGGAUGCCUGAUGAACAGAGGUGCUUGAACAACUGGCCUUCAGCUCUGUCACCUUUUUUGGUGGUUGCAAAAACAAAACAAAACAAAACAAAACAAAACAAAGCCAACCA